AGGUAAGCUACUAAGAGCGAAUGGUGGAUGCCUUGACUGGUAAAGGCGAUGAAGGACGUACUAGACUGCGAUAAGCUACGGGGAGCUGUCAAGAAGCUUUGAUCCGUAGAUUUCCGAAUGGGGCAACCCAAUGUAUAGAGAUAUACAUUACCUAUAUAGGAGCGAACGAGGGGAAUUGAAACAUCUUAGUACCCUCAGGAAAAGAAAUCAAUAGAGAUUGCGUCAGUAGCGGCGAGCGAAAGCGCAAGAGGGCAAACCCAGUGCUUGCACUGGGGGUUGUAGGACUGCAAUGUGCAAGAGGUAAGUUUAGCAGAACAUUCUGGAAAGUAUAACCAUAGAGGGUGAUAGUCCCGUAUGCGAAAAACAAACCUUAGCUAGCAGUAUCCUGAGUAGGGCGGGACACGAGGAAUCCUGUCUGAAUCCGGGUCGACCACGAUCCAACCCUAAAUACUAAUACCAGAUCGAUAGUGCACAAGUACCGUGAGGGAAAGGUGAAAAGAACUGAGGUGAUCAGAGUGAAAUAGAACCUGAAACCAUUUGCUUACAAUCAUUCAGAGCCCUAUGUAGCAAUACAGGGUGAUGGACUGCCUUUUGCAUAAUGAGCCUGCGAGUUGUGGUGUCUGGCAAGGUUAAGCAAACGCGAAGCCGUAGCGAAAGCGAGUCUGAAUAGGGCGCUUAGUCAGAUGCUGCAGACCCGAAACGAAGUGAUCUAUCCAUGAGCAAGUUGAAGCUAGUGUAAGAACUAGUGGAGGACUGAACCCAUAGGCGUUGAAAAGCCCCGGGAUGACUUGUGGAUAGGGGUGAAAGGCCAAUCAAACUUCGUGAUAGCUGGUUCUCUCCGAAAUAUAUUUAGGUAUAGCGUUGUGUCGUAAUAUAAGGGGGUAGAGCACUGAAUGGGCUAGGGCAUACACCAAUGUACCAAACCCUAUCAAACUCCGAAUACCUUAUAUGUAAUCACAGCAGUCAGGCGGCGAGUGAUAAAAUCCGUCGUCAAGAGGGAAACAACCCAGACUACCAGCUAAGGUCCCUAAAUCUUACUUAAGUGGAAAACGAUGUGAAGUUACUUAAACAACCAGGAGGUUGGCUUAGAAGCAGCCAUCCUUUAAAGAAAGCGUAAUAGCUCACUGGUCUAGUGAUUUUGCGCGGAAAAUAUAACGGGGCUAAAGUAAGUACCGAAGCUGUAGACUUGCGCACAACUUAGAUUAUUUAAGUUUAGAAUAUGAGAAACUAAGUUAUAUGUUUAGUUAUAUUUUUACUGAUUUUUAUAGAGUAAAGAUAGAAAUAAAACUUAGUAAAAUCAGUAAAAAUAUUCUUAGACUAAAGUUAAGUAGUUUAAGUUGUGUGCAAGUGGUAGGAGAGCGUUCUAUUUGCGUCGAAGGUAUACCGGUAAGGAGUGCUGGAGCGAAUAGAAGUGAGCAUGCAGGCAUGAGUAGCGAUAAUUAAUGUGAGAAUCAUUAACGCCGUAAACCCAAGGUUUCCUACGCGAUGCUCGUCAUCGUAGGGUUAGUCGGGUCCUAAGUCGAGUCCGAAAGGGGUAGACGAUGGCAAAUUGGUUAAUAUUCCAAUACCAACAUUAGUGUGCGAUGGAAGGACGCUUAGGGCUAAGGGGGCUAGCGGAUGGAAGUGCUAGUCUAAGGUCGUAGGAGGUUAUACAGGCAAAUCCGUAUAACAAUACUCCGAGAACUGAAAGGCUUUUUGAAGUCUUCGGAUGGAUAGAAGAACCCCUGAUGCCGUCGAGCCAAGAAAAGUUUCUAAGUUUAGCUAAUGUUGCCCGUACCGUAAACCGACACAGGUGGGUGGGAUGAGUAUUCUAAGGCGCGUGGAAGAACUCUCUUUAAGGAACUCUGCAAAAUAGCACCGUAUCUUCGGUAUAAGGUGUGGUUAGCUUUGUAUUAGGAUUUACUCCGAAAGCAAGGAAACUUACAACAAAGAGUCCCUCCCGACUGUUUACCAAAAACACAGCACUCUGCUAACUCGUAAGAGGAUGUAUAGGGUGUGACGCCUGCCCGGUGCUCGAAGGUUAAUUGAUGGGGUUAGCAUUAGCGAAGCUCUUGAUCGAAGCCCGAGUAAACGGCGGCCGUAACUAUAACGGUCCUAAGGUAGCGAAAUUCCUUGUCGGUUAAAUACCGACCUGCAUGAAUGGCGUAACGAGAUGGGAGCUGUCUCAAAGAGGGAUCCAGUGAAAUUGUAGUGGAGGUGAAAAUUCCUCCUACCCGCGGCAAGACGGAAAGACCCCGUGGACCUU
rnacentral:rRNA from 1 species